CUACCAGGAUUCUCCUAGUAACGGCGAGUGAACGGAGAUUAGCCCAGCACCGAAGCCUAUCCGCAAUUGUGGACAGGGCAAUGUGGUGUACAAGUAUUAAUCUGGAUGUGCUAGUCUACUCGAAGUCCAACUCCGAUUACGGCUUUGGAUAUUUUUCCACAGAGGGUGAAAGACCCGUUCGUGUAGACCACCAUUUGUCGGCACGUCUUUGAUAUUGAUACUUAAGAGUCGGAUUGCUUGAGAAUGCAGUCCAAAGACGGGUGGUAAACUCCAUCCAAGGCUAAAUACUGGCACGAGUCCGAUAGUAGACAAGUACCGUGAGGGAAAGUUGAAAAGUACUCUGAAGAGAGAGUAAAUAGUACGUGAAGCUGCCUGCAUGGAAGCUGGUGGAGUCAAGCUUCUUAGAGUGAGAAUUGGUGCGGAGAUUUUGUUUAUGUUAUAGAACCAAGGGGUGUUCAGCUUGAAAAUGACUGGAUAGUUCGCUAUCUCAGGCGUUCAGGGUUGUGCGCUUGCUACAUUCUUAUGGUUUGGUUCAUUCUCUUGUACUGUUUCUCACUCUUAACAUCACAGUCAAUGUACAUAUAUUCUAUGAUAAUUUAACUGUGGCCGUUGUGGACUUCGGUUCACUGGCCAUAGAAUGGCAGGUGCAGAUAUGAAGACCUCGUGUUUUCAUGUUUAUUAUAUUGGUGUCAAAGCCUUGCUGAUUAUCAUAGUUUCAUAAAAUUAAUUAUGUAUAUUGUUCUUAUAUCAGUGUAACCGUAAGGUUGUAUUGAUGAGAGCUGUGGUGCCGAGGUAGACGUUCCACCCGACCCGUCUUGAACCACGGACCAAU
rnacentral:rRNA from 1 species